rnacentral:lncRNA from 1 species
UUUUCUUGAAAUAAAGAUCGUUCGUUUAAAUAAGUACUAAGCACAACCAGAGGUAAAAUUUAAACUUCACUAAGUAAACAUUCAAAAGAUGCCAUUUUCGCAUGGCUUAUAUACAUUAACCAAAGAUAUUCUUCCGCCACUAGUCUAUUCUAUACAUGCCAUAAGAUAAUCCAAAACGUAGCAGUACCAAACAAUGGAUAGUGAUAGUGUGACUAGUUGCUGAUGAUCCCCGAGCCUGUAGCUUCCAAAUGAGAUCUAUAAAACAGAGGAAACAGAGUAAACGGAGUAAGCAUUACAAUGCUUAGUAAGUUUUAAGCAGUGUCAACAGAUAACAAUCAAAUUAUAACAUAGUUGUUCGUAUAUUUUAUUUCACUCUUCCUUCGGGCAUACCAUCCCUUUUCCGAAUAUGCACAUCUCAUCAUAUACAAUAGGCAGAUAAACUUUCAUAUAAAAGUGAGCUCAUGUGACAUAGAUAUAUCGUAUGAUUUCACAUAACCUCUCACACUGAUCCGAUGUCACAUAAUCAUAGGAAUAGUCUCAUAGAUUGCUCUCUAUGCAUCACAUAACUACCUUAUGAUUUAGUGCAAAUCAAGCUCACAUAUAAACUUGGAGUACAUACCUGUUUAACCAUUCGCAUUGAAUAUAUUUAUAAGCAAUUCUUAUUACGAAGUCUUACUCGGGCAUAAUCUCCACACGAAGUUAUCGGGUCUUACCCGGACAAAAUCCCCACACGUAGUCAUCGGGUCUUUAGAGCUCGGAUAUAGUACGAGCACGAAGCUUACGGACAUUAAUCAGUGAUAAUAUUCUCGCAUAAAGCCUGCGGGGUUUUAACCCGGAUAUAGUGCUGACACAAAUGCCCUUCGGGACUUAUCACAUUUAUACACUUUCACAUCCAUCACGUUGGCCACUCGGCCCUGUCACAUAUAUACACUUUCACAUUCAUCACAUCGGCCAUCAGGCCUUAUCACAUAUAUACACUUUCACAUUCAUCACAUCGGCCAUUAGGCCUUAUCACAUAUAUACACUUUCACAUUCAUCACAUCGGCCAUUAGGCCUUAUCACAUAUAUAUACACUCACAUAUAUAUACACUUUCACAUUCAUCACAUCGGCCAUUAGGCCUUAUCACAUAUAUACACUUUCACAUUACCAACCCUUUUAUUCAUACACAAAUAUCAACUUAGCCAAAGGCCGGUAGCUCAUUUAUCAACUGAGCGAAUACUUAUUUGUAAGGGCUCAACUAAUUCAAAGCACAUACGAAACAUACCUCAAUGUUGGGAUGUUUCAAGCGUAUUAACUGAAAUUUUUACAGCAAGAUCAUUCAUUCCCAAAUCACAUACCUUCGGAAUUUAACCGGAUAUAGCUACUCGUUCAAAUGCCUUCGGGACAUAGCCCGGUUAUAGUAACUCGCACAAAUGCCUUCGGGACUUAACCCGGAUUUAGUAACUCGCACAAAUGCCUUCGGGCUUAGCCCGGAAUUAGUAUCUCGCACAAAUGCCUUCGGAUCUUAGUCCGGAUUUAGUAUCUCGCACAAAUGCCUUCGGAUCUUAGUCCGGAUAUGGUCACUUAGCACAAAGCCUUCGGGACUUAGCCCAGACAUCAUUCAAAUAACCAUGCACAUUUAACAAUAAAUCAUGGCACAUUCGUAUUUCAUUUUCGUUAGCAAAACUCAAACACAAGACACUUAUCAUUCUUGCAAUUUCGGCUCAAUAGCCACACACAAAGAGCAUGAUUUUGAUUUGCUUAAAACAUGAUCUAAUCAAAUCAUAAUUUAAGCUCUAUUACUCAAGAACUUACAAUAUCACGAUUUAGAAUUCAAGUAUGGGUUUAAUCAAUAGCUUGUGAGCAACUAAAACAAGUUUAUCAAGGUUCACAACAUAAUCUCAAAUUCAGCACAAGCUGUUUUUCCUGAGCAAUAGUCACUAAAUUAUUUAUAACUGGAGCUACAAAACUCCAAAUCACUUUCUGUUAAUUUUUCCUGAAUAUAGACUCGUAUAUCUUCCACCCAUAAAAUUUCCAGAAUUUUAGGUUUGGCCAAUCAAUACCAGAUUUUUCUUAAAAUUUCCCCUGUUUCACUGUUUGACUAACCUGACCACCCUUCACUACGAAUCAAAUUUAUCAUUUUACAGAAUUCAAAAUGUGUUGUAUUUGAUUUCAUUUGAAACUAGACUCAUUAAGGAGUCUAAGCAUAUAAAUUUUAUCUUAUAACCAUUUUUUUACAAUUUAUAAUGAUUUUCUAAAAACAGAACAGGGGAUUUCGGAGUCAUUCUGACACCGUCUCACACAACUUUAAAUAUCUCAUUAUCGGAAAUUCCUUUGCUUACACGGUUUCUUUUAUAAGAAACUAGACUCAUUAAGAUUUAAUUUCAUGUCUCAUUCAGCCUCUAAUUCAAGUCCAUAAAUUUAUGGUGAUUUUCUAAAGUCAGGUUACUGCUGCUGUCCGAAGCAGACUAUUUCAAAUUACCCUUAAAUUCCCAAGCUCAAACACUUAAGAACUUACCAUUUGAGCUUAGAACAUAUCAUGGCCACAUCAUAUCUUAUUAAAUCAACUCAUCAUGUCCUAUUAUAAUUGAAUUUACUCAACGUUUAAACACUUAAAACUUACCUCGGAUGUGGUCGAACAAUUUCGGCGGCUAUUCGAUCACUUCUUCCCUUCCCUUAUCCAACUUUGGUCCUCUAAGCUCUUGAGCUUAAUUUAACAAAUAAAUUGAUUUAAUCAUUUGAGCAUCAAAAGAGGAACUCAAGGUACUUAGCCCAUAUAUACAUACAUUAGACAUUAAAGUCACAUACAUAUGAAAUCAUAAAUCAAUUCAACAUAUUAGCCCACACUCUCUUUUAGCCGAUUGUCUAAGCCAAGAUAAAAGCAUCAAUAUGCUUGCCUCUAGCCGAAUACAUGCAACACCAAGCAAGAAUGAUGCAUCCAUGGCCGAGUGUCAUCUUCAUAACUUUACAAAAACAUUUGCCAUGAGCUAGCUUCUCUACUUGGUGGCCACUCCAAAUGUACAAAGAUUUUCAAUGAUAGAGCAUUAACAUACCUUAAUACAUCAAAAUAAUUAAAUUCUUCCCAUGGCACACUAAAACCGAAUAUGUCUUAUUCAAAUAUAAAUUCUCAUAUUUCAUUUAUUUAACCAUUUAACCCUCCUAUCAAAUAAUUUUCACAAACUAAUCUUAAACUCAAAAUCACAUAAAAUCGUAACACAAAAGGCAUUCAUCUAACACUUGAUUUCUAAAUUCUAACAUCAAACUCAAAUUUCUUAGCUCAUCAACUCAUGGCCGAACAUCAAUUAUUCACCAAAACAAAAAUUAACUCAUGGGUUUUAGAGAAAAUUAAGUAAGGAAUUCAAUGAUACUAAAAAUUAACAAAAACAACCUGAAUUUCACCUUGAAUUUUUGCUUCCAAAUGGCCGAAACUUCAAAGCCACAAAUUUUAUUUUCUUUCUCCUUUGUUCGGCCUCCAAGAUGAACUACAUGCAUGUUCUUUUUUUUUUAUGCCCCAUACCGUCCAUAUCAAUUGUCAAGGUUAAAUAUCAUCACAAAUACUCCAACUUACAAAAACAACUUCAAUUCGGCCCUGAAGAUACAAACAUGCAUGGCUUUCCAUUUUAUGUUUUAUAAUACUUAUAAAAAUAAUUAUCUCACAAAUAACUUUAAAAUAAACAUAUAAAGACAUCAUGCAUUAAGCCAUUACCAUCCAUAUAUUUAUUAAUGAUAUAAUUGCCAUUCAAAACCUCAAUAUUCUAAAGACAUAACACUUUAACAUUUUCAUGAUAGCAUGCUUAUUAAUCAAUUGAUGCAUUUUAAUCCUUUUUAAUGACAUAAAGAAAGAAAGAAAAAUAUUUACCAAGAGUUUCAAACUACUUGGCCGAAUAUCAAACCUCCAAACAACCAAAAAAUUUAACUCAUGGAAUGGAUAGAAUUUGAACAAAUCACCAAAAUUAUACAUAAAUUUUCAAGAAUUUCAAAGUACUUACCUCUUUCUAAAUAUUCUCCAAGCCGAAAUCAUACAAAGAAAUUUUUUUCUUCUUUCUAAUCUCAAGUUACGGCAAUGGUAGAGUGAGGAUGAACCAACUUUGUUUUUAUCACCCAUUUCUUUUAAUAUAAGUUCAUAUUUCAUAUUAUUUAUUCAUUUAACAUUUAAUUUAUUAAUAUAAAAGGCAUAUAUUUUGUAUCCCAUGCUCCUUAUUUUAUCAUACUUCCCAUGAAACACUAACUUAACAUGUUUAUGACAUGUUCUUGCCCAUCACACUUGGUCUACCAUACUUGUCAUGGCCGGCCACUACUAAUUAGGGGGGAAAUUGACAUGCAAGUCCCCCCUUUUUAUUUCAUGCACUAAUAGAUCCUUAUGCUUUGACCUAUCACAUUUCAAAAUUUUCUCACAUAAGUCCUAUUUGAUAAAAUUCACUUACUAUUAACAAAAUUCAAACAUGAAAUUUUCACACAUGCAUAUGUACAUAUAAUGAGCAUCAACUAUGAUGGUUAAUUAUCUUUAUGACUCGGUUUAGUGGUCCCGAAACCACUUUCCAACUAGGGUCACUUUAGGGGUGUCACAAUUACUAGCCAUUCCAAUAGCUAGAUUACAAGCAUCAGUAACAUUUACAUGCCAAUAUGGCCAAUAUAUCCUAUACAUGCCAUUACAAUCAUAAUUGAUUUACCAUAAAUAUGCCGAUAUAGGCCAAUGGAUAGUGUGAGUGAUCUCCUCCAAGCUUCCAAUCCAACGAGCUUCCGAUUUACUAUAAAACAGGGAAAUAAAACUAAGUAAGCAUAAAAUGCUUAGUAAGUUCGUAUAACAUGGUACUUAACUUACCAUUCAUUCUAUUUUGAGGUAACUAUGUAAGGCAACAUGGUACUUAACUUACCAUUCAUUCUAUUUUGAGGUAACUAUGUAAGGCAAUCAAUCAAUUUUCCCUCAAGCCCUACACAUAUCCUCAUUGCCCUUGUUAGUCAUAUAUUCCAUAAUAACAUCACAAACAUAUAUGGGCUCAACAACAAUCAAGUUUCCAUGCACAUAUGCUUUCCACAAUAUACAUUCAUUGAACAUGCAUAAUUCAUCUCAUUAUUACAAAUAUAAUUUCAUAAUAGUUCAUUUCGAAUUCAGAUCAUUUCGUAUCAGAACUUUACUCAUAUUACUCAAUGUCAAGAUCACGAUUAGUAUACUCAAGGUGUACAAGUCCAUAAUCAAGAAUGAACAUAUAUUCAUCAAAUAGAGUCCAUGUACAAAUAUCAUCAUCUCAUGUUUUCAUAUAUCAUUUGUCAAGUUUCAUGAUUUUCUUCUAUUUCAGACAAAUACAUGUGAUAACUCAUAUUAUCAUUCAUAUCUUCUCAUGUCUAGAAUUGUCACCCAUUGAAUUUAUUCGAAAUAUCAAUGGAUACGUAGGUAGUACAUUCGAGGUGUACGAAUCAGGAUCCGUUAAUUCAUGUCCAAUAGUACCCAUAAGGUACUAUAUCAGAGAGUACACUCUCGAGCCACACAUGUAUACAACAAGAUUACCAGUCCAAGCUAAAUCAUUUUUAUGUCAUAUGCUCUAAGGAGAUUGAUCUGGAUUACCCGUUCGGGCUAAAUCCAAUCCAUAACAUGUGCUCGAGAGGACUUAUAUUAGGAUUACCCGUCUGGGCUAAAUCCUUUCUGUAAUGAAGUCAAUAGGAUUACUCGUCCAAGCUAAAUCCCGUCAGCAACAAAUGCAGGACCUCAUUCAUUUCGGGAAAUCAUAUAUCCAUCGAUUUUCCAUUUUAUUCAACCAAGAUUUAAACAUUUUUCUCAAGAAUUACUAGCAUGUAUUUAUUUCAUACAUCUACAACAUUCAUGUAAUUCAAAUAAAGACAUUCCACAUUCAUUUCAAGCAUAUAAGUAACAUUCUCAUCGUUUAUCCUUUAUCAUCUAUCAGGCAUUAUCAUUUAAUUUAAACAUUUUUAUUUAUCAAGCUUGAUCGGUUAUGUAGUCAUUUCAGAUAUUUAUGACAUUUAUACAAUCUACAUAAACACAAUCAAUGCAAGGAUGUAAAUAAACACAAUUUAGUUACACGAACUUACCUCGACAAAGGUUCGUGUACAAACAUCUACUAAUCCAACAUUUUCCUCGUUCUAACUCCAAAUUUGGUCUAUCUGGAUCUAUACGAGUAAAUUUAAUAUCAAAUUCACACAUCUCAUAUACAUUUGGACUCAAUUUACAUCCUAGGCAAAAUUACCAUCUUGCCCCUAACAUUUCCAUAAAUUCUCAUUUCGUUCCUAUGCUCGGAAAAUAAAAUUUGUGCAAUUUACUCCCUAUUCCAGGCCUAACCAAAAUCCCAUUACAAAAUUUACAGCACAUGUAUUCAUAAAAAAUUAGAAUUUUUCUUUAAUUCCACAACUUUACAUUUUAGUCCCUAAAUCAUGUUUUCAUCAAAAAUCACUUUAUAAAAGUUUUUUUAUCUAACAACAAUCUUUCAUUCUCUACCAUAAAUUUCUAAUUUUCAGCAAGUAUAUCCAUGACCAAUUUUUCAUACUUUGAUAACUUCUCAAAUUGAUCCCCCAAAUAGAUAGAUUAGACUAUCUCGGUUUCAAAAAUAUAAAAAUUACUAAAACUAGGGCUUGAUUACUUACCCAAGUAAGUUUGAUAAGUCUUCUUCCUCUCUCCUAGGGUUUCCAUGGAAAUAUUUGGGGAAGAUGAUAUGAAAUUGUUUUCUUUUUUUCAUUUAAUUAAAUUGUCAUUUAAUAACUUUUCAUCUUUCUAAUUUAGUCCUUAGCCUUUUUUUAUUUUUCCAUGGAUGAGUCAUACCAAAAUAUCAACAUAUUUUCUUUAAUGGUCUAAUUAUCAUAUAAGGAUCUCAAAUUUUGAAUUCCAUAGCUAUUUAAUCCUUAUAGCUACUAAAAUUCAACUUUUGCAUUUUAUGCGAUUUGGUCUUUCUCGUAAUUAAGCACAUAAUCGGUAAAAUUUUCUUAUCAAAAUUUUCACAUGACAUUUCUAUCAUAUUACGGAACAUGCAAUAAAAUAAAAAUAAAUUUUAUUUUUGGCUCGGAUUUGUGGUCCCAAACCACUGUUCCUAUUUCACUGAAAUUGAGCUGUUACAGGGCUAAGACACACGCCCUUAUCUUAGACCGUGUAGACAAAAAUAGACCAUUCUCAAGUCAUUUCCUCACCCAAAACUUGGUCACUUAUACAAUCCAAAUGCACCUAUUUUCAUGCAUCCAAAUUGUACCUAACAGAUGCAUAUUCAAGCUAGAUCAUCAUAGAAUUUAAUUAUACAACCAAUAUGCCUAAAUGGCACCUCAAUCACAACAAUCAAACUUGAUUAUACAUUUACUAAGUUUAGCCAUUUUUCUACUCAAUACUCACUGCCUAUUUCCAUAUCAAACCAUACCUCAACGAAAACCUUCAAGCAUAUCAAAACAACAUUUCAUAGCAUGCAUUUAACCUACCAUUCCAUCAUUCACCAUUUAAGUACCAAGAUGCCAAAAUGUCAACAAUUAUAACAUCACAUUUACAUGCCAACAUAACAACCUAUUCAUCAAUCAAAGUCCCAAAUUUACACAUUUCAUCAAACACAAAAACACCUAUACAUGCCAUUAUAACCAUGACUCAAAAUCAUCAAAAUCUACUGAUAUAGCUGAUGGAUAAUGUGAUGGAUCUCUGACUAGCUUCCAACCUGAUUGAGCUUCCGAUAAUCUGUAAGGUAAAAGAGAUACUACGUAAGCAAUGAAUGCUUAGUAAGCUCAUAUAAACUUUAGGCAUAAUAUUCAAUUUUGAUAAUAAACUUUAUAGAAUAAACAUAAAUCUAUGCCAAUUCUAUAAGAUUCAUAAAUCGAUAUGAUCAUCAACUCAUAAAUGAGUAAGUUUAUUAAUGUUUCAUAUUUAUUGAUCAUUCAUAACAUGAUAGGAUUUCAUGAGACAUGAUAUAAAAUCAUCAACCUAUUAUAAGAUUAUUUAUCUUUCUAUUUACUUACUUUCCAUUUUGUCCCCAAUGCUUAUCAUAAGCCUAAACAACAUUACUUUCCAUGACAUAGGUGCAUUCAUUCAUAGCAUAAGCAAUUUGGUCACACAUAAUACAUCCCAAUUACGUACUUACUGUUUCAUUACCUUUUCUUACCUAUUUCAUAUGCAUAGUACAAGCAUAAUUAUAAAUAUCAAUCAUAUCCACAAGUUUGGCAUAAGCCCUAGCACAUCAACAACACAUUCAUAUGAAUUUGACAUGGAUAACCAUUAUACUUGAGUAUGAUUCAAUUGGAUUUAUCAUCCAUCACAACAUAUCAUGUUUUUCCAUGUAUCACCAUUCCAUUGAGUUUCAAUAAACAUUCCUUAUUUCUUAUUGAACACUUAACAUUUCAUUUGCAUACACAUAAGACAUAAACAUAACAUUAACCAUAGCCACAAGCUAGUGAUUAAACACAUACCUUAGCAAUAUCAUCACAUGGUAAGAUAUGAUACAUAACAUAUCAUCACUUAUAUCAUACCUUUCAUCAACAUGAAUAUUCAUACUUUGAUCAUUGGUACAUCAUACCUUUCCGUAUUUUUCAUAGUAAAGACAAUCAGAACCCUUACCAAAGCUCACACAAAAUGUGCUAAAUGAUGGUUGUAAACGUCCCUUUUCAUAUUUAAUGGUCGAAACCAUCCCUUUUCAUAAAUCGAUCUUUUCAUAGUUGAUGGUCAUCACCACCCCUUUUCAUUAAUCGAUAGCCGAAGCUAUCCCUUUUCAUAAUCGAUAGCCGAAGAUAUCCUUUUUCAUUGGUCGAUGAUCGCCGAUACACUGUUGAAUUUUUAUAUCGAGGUAUAAUUUGAUAUUAAAAAAAUGGUAGCAUUUAAAACAUAAUUUAAAAUGAUAUUUAAACGUACGAACUUACCUGGCUAAAUUGCAUAAAUGUCAAAGUAUAGGGGCAUUUUCGUAAUUUUCCAUUCUCUUCGAUUUUUCACUUGAUCUUGAUCUAAAUUAGUAAUUUUAUUAAAUCUAUUAAUUUAGAUAGUACAAUAAUGUAUUUUAUGCAAUUUAGUCAUUUUUGACCUUUUACCAAAAUUACCCCUAAAAUUUUACUUUUAUUCAAUUUAGUCUCUAAGCCUAAAACAUGCAAAUUAACCAUUUUUACCCAAAAUUGUGCCUAGCUGAAUACUCCUGGAAUCUAAUACAGCCCAUUAUUGCAACAAUUUCACAUCAAGUCCUUAUACUUUUACUAAUUUAACAAUUUAGUCCCUAAUCAAAGAAUUCAUCAAAGAUCACUUAAUAAAAUACUUUUAGAUAACAACUAAUAUCUCAAAUUCAUCAUCUAACAUCUAAAAUCACAAGGUUCAUCAAUGGAAACAUUCAAAAUCUUUAACAGUUUCAAAAUCGAAGGUGCGGGCUAGCUGGACCUAAUUGCAAUAAUCUCAACAACAUCAAAAUUAUCAAAAACGAGUAAGAAUUUCAUACCAUGGAUGAGGAAUUCACUAUAGCCGAACCUAACUUCAUUUCCAUGGACAUUUAGUUGAACUUGGAGAAGAAAACCAAAAGGAUGAUGAUAAUUUAACAUUUUGUUUUCUUUUAAUUAAUUAAUUAUAAAAUCUACAAUUUUGUCCACUUAAUAUCAUCCAAUUUCAUGCUUUUAGUUGCCCAAAACCGUCCAUUAAAACCCUAAAUGGUUUAAUUACCAUUUAAGUCCCUUUUCCUUUAUUUAAUUAACCAUUUAAUCACUCAAAUCAAAUAGCAAUCAAAUUUUACAUCUUUUACGAGUCCUUUAUAAUUAAUUAACUAUCGAAACGUUAAAAUUUUUCAACAAAACUUUAAUACCACCUAAUGACACUCCAUAAAUAUUUAUAAAAAUGUUUACAGUUCUGUUUAUAGAAACGAGGUCCCGAUACCUCAUAUUCUAAAACCACUUGACCUUAAGGUCUUACCACUUGAACUUAAUAAAUUGCUUAAAUAACAUAAAUUAUCAAAUCAAAAACCUUUUCAAAGUCACAUUUGACUCGUAAAAUUUAAAUGAUAAUAUUUACAAACUUACUUGUCAGAUUUGGUUGCCCCAACACCACUGUUUUCGACACCACUAAAAAAUGAGCUGUUAUACAAGGAAUCCUUAAUAUUGUUGUGGGUAAGCUGAUAGAAUGGAACGAUAGUGUUGAAACUAGGAUGAAAGGUAUGAAGGAAGAAAAUGAAGCUAUGGUGAUGGAUUUAAAGGAGGAAACUAAUGUCACGACAAGGGAUUUAAGCAGAAAAAUUGAGGAGCUCAAGGGAGAGCUUGCUGUAUGUCGAGCUACCAUAGGUAAAGGGAUGUUGAGUGUAAUACUAAAUCGAGAGAUUGAUGUCCCUAAACCAAAGAAGUUUUAAGGGGAAAAUUUUGCAAGGGGAGUGGACAACUUCUUGUUGGAGAUGGAGCAAUAGUUUCAUGUCGCGGGCAUCAAGGAUGAUGAUGCUAAGGUAAAUAUUGUUUCUUGAUAUUUUAUUGAUUUUUCUCUUCUUUGGUGUAAGCGUAGGUCUAUAGAAUAAAAACAUGGUUAGGCCACAAUUGAGACUUAGGAGGAUUUCCAAGAAGAGUUCAAGGAGCAGUUUUACCCCAAAUAUACCGAGAAAGCUCAGGCUAAGUUGUGUCAAUUUUCGUAUAAAGGUACAAUUUGGGAGUUUGUAAAAGAGUUCAAUAAACUAAUGCUCAAAAUUAUGAAUCUGAGUGAGAAGGAGGAAUUUUUCUUUUCCAUGGAUGGUUUUGAAGUUUUGGGCUAAGCAAGAAUGGGAAUGUCAAAGGGUCUUAGAACUGUCCAAAGCUAUGAUCGUGGUAGAGUCCUUAAUUGAGCUUGUUUCAAGGAAAGAUAAGUUUGAGUCUUCCAAGCCCAAGGGGAAAGGAAAUGGUGACAAAGAAGAAGAAGGACAAGUCAAGAAUUGAAACAACAGUGCUGACAAUAAGAAACCAGGGAAGAGGAAACCCAACAGUAAACUGAAAGGGACAUUGAAAUGCAUCCUUUGUGAAGGUCUGUAUAUGGUAAGGGACUAUCUGAAGCAGUCUGUGUUUUUUUCCAUCAAAUAGGGUGAUAAGCAAGAAAAAGAACCAAUGAGGCUUGGUUGAUCGUACGUAGGAUCAAAGCUAAGAAGGGGAAAUAGAGUGAGAAGAAAUUAGUGAAGUGCUCCUUGUGUCGUGGUUCACAUAUGAUGUGGGACUGUCCAGAAUGAUCCAAGACUUCUAUGGUUAGUAAAGAAGUGGAAGGGGAUCUAAAGAGUGAGGCUUUGAAGCUUAGGUCAAUGAUACUUAAUUCUGCAAAAGCGAAAAGGGAUCGUAAGCAGAAAGGGUUAAUGUAUAUGGACAUAAACAUUGCAAGUCAGAGGAAAAGUGCUCUUAUUGAUACAGGAGCAUCAGACCUAUUCAUAUCAAGAAAAGACAUGGGUAAACUUGGUCUCUCAAUUAGGAAAUCAACUAAGAAGAUUAAGACUGUUAAUUCCAAAAAGGUCCUAAUAGUGGAAGUAGCACAAGGAGUUGAGUUGUAGAUCAGUCAAUGGUAAAGCAAGGAAGAAUUUGAGGUAAUUCACUUGGAUAAUUAUAGUUUUGUUCUUGGCUUAAAUUUCCUUAACAAGAUUAAUGCUCUUUUGGUUCUUUUUUUUACUGUAUAUGCAUCCUAGAUACUCAACACAACAAUGUGUUGUGUUGAUGAGUCGAGAUAAGAGGGGAAAACUAAGGUAUUGUCGGCAAUCCAACUAGCUAAUGAUGUUAGUGAGGGAAAUAAUAUUGACUCGGUAGAUCGAAUGAGUUCUAGGAAGACCCCCCUAAGAAAUGAUAUAGGGGUGAUAACUAUUGAAAAGAGUUAUAUUUUAGGCAUCUAGACUUGGUUAAUUGUUCAUAGUUGAUUAAAUUUAGUUGCACUUUAGGAAAUUAUAUUAAUAUUUUAUAACAUUACAUCAUAAAGCUUGGAUUUUACUUUCAAUGUCACUAUAUAUUACUUUUACUUGUGGGAGGAAAGGAAUUGCGUGUUGUUUAUAACAAGUGUAGAAAGAAGGAAAAGAAGUGAAUGAGUGAAGUUUUUUCAUGACAAAAGGUUGGACAGAUUGUCAGCACAAAUGCCAUGAAAAUUCCAAAAACAUGCUGACUCAACUAUCAAUCCGUACCUCUCAGCCAGUUGUACUUGUACCAGAAAUAUCCACCUGAAAAGGAGGAGAAAGAAGUGUGCAUGAAAGGUGGACCUACCCUAUAAAAAAAGAAAGAGAAAGAGAAAAGAGAGCAGUUUUCCUCACACAAAAAUUAUUGUGAGAGAUUUAGAGACGCAAGAAAAGUGGGUAACAGCUAAAGAACAGAGCAACAAUGCAAGGAAGAAGGAGAGCAAUCAACCUUGGGCUCGCAAGAUAUUGCAGCACUGGAGUUGAAGGCUAGGUUGGCGAAAGCUUCCUAAAGUUCUUCCUUCAUUUUUUAAUUGAUUUCUGGGAGGAAAUAUGUUGUUUAAUGAAACUUUUAUUUUGGAUUUUAAUUUCCAACUCAUGAGCUAAUCUCAUCAGAUUGGGAUUACUGAAUGAAUCUUUAGUUCCUUUAAUGAUCAAGGCAUUAUCCUGAUUUGAUUUACUGUUUCAUUUGAUUUGCAUUAUUUUACAAUGUAUGCAUGUAAUCUCUAGACAUAGAUGAACGCAUGGUAUGUUCAUAAACAUUAUUUAAUUCUAAAAAGGUUAGACGAGUUGGAUUGUGAUCGAACGAUACAAGAGAGUACUCGACAGAGUACUCGUAGCACUCUAGACAUAGAGUUGCACUUUGUACAGAGAAAUGAAGAAACAGUGCUGGGUAUCCUUCUUAAGGCUUGUAGACAUGCAAAGCCUUUUGUACGGUAGCUUGAAGUCUGAGUCUCGAAAGAAGUAGACUACCUAGAUUUAAUCUGAAUAGUAGAUUGGUUAAGAUUUUUCCAUGGCAUUAUUGUGUUAUGAGGAAAGAACUUUAGUAAUCCCAGCCUUUCCAUUCAUCAGCGUAGAUCCCCUCAACUUUGUCCUUGCAUCUUUGCCCCAUCAUUUUGAGUUAGUUAUUUGAUUUUAAUAUUGCAUAUGUGAUUAUUCAUCCACAAGUUGUUAUUCUGUUUUGCCAUAGCCUGAUUCAUAUAGCUUAUAGUAAUAGCUUAAUCGAAUUAAUCCUAUAAGAUCCCUAAGGAGACAUCUUACUUACUAUUUUAUUACUUGAUUUGACAUGUAAACUUGCAGCUUCGCAUAUAUAUUCACACACAACGAGGGGCGACAAACUAAAAUGAAACCUAUUGAGUUAUCAGUGGGCUACUGAUCUACCGUAAUUAUGUGUAGUAGAUUAAACUCAUUUUCGCAUUGAGGAGCUUGAAUACAAGAAUUUUUUUUAUUUCAGUUGAGUUUUUAAAAUUUCAAUUUCAUUUAAUAAAGUGUGAUUUAAGUCUUUUAUUGACCUUAGGAACCGAAUGAGGCUUAAAGGUGAGUUAAAAUACUUGUUGAGUGUGCAGGAGACCAUUAGAGGGCGUACCAACUCAAUAUUGGUCAUUGUGUUGAAACACAGGGAAUGUGAUACCGCAACAUAGGGAGUAAAGAGCAAGAAUUCCAAGACUACCUUCAAUGUCGCGACACAACCAAGCGAUGUCGUGACACACCCCUGAAUCUACCCUGAGUACAAGCAUAUUACCUUCGAUGUCGCAACAAAGGCACUAGGCUAUAUCGACAUCGGUCAUGUACGAGAAAUACUUACAAGCUAGGGGCAUUUUGGUCUACACAAUCAAAUAUUAAACACGAGAACUUAGCUGACCUAGGGUUGAGGACGACGACAACCCUAACUCUAUAAAUAGACUCAUUUAAGACUUGGUAUGGACAGCUUUUUAUACUGUAUAAUUUUCUUUAUAGUUUAUAUUUUUAGUUUUUCCCUUUCUUUAGGCUUUAGGUUAUUUUUAGUUUUGCAUUUUUCGAGAGAUCUGUUUUGUGGAAUUUGAUCAACUCUUUGUGGAUAUCAUGCUUCAAUUAAAUACAAUUCAGUAUUCUCUUAAAAUUUUGUCUCUUGAUUUGUUCUUACAUCAAGUUCAUUAUGUUUUUGAGAUCCAUGAGGAACAAAUCCUCUUAUGUGGGAGUAGCGAGUGGAGGUAUGAUUAGUUGAUUGUUGUGCAAGGUUUCUUAGCGGAUCAGCUAUUUGGGAGAGGAAGAAUUUUAACCCUUGGCUUAACGACCCUAGGAAGUCAUCUAGGUGGGAUUAACCCAAAAUUGGUAUGGCCUAUCCGUGAACACCUUUAUUGUAACACCCCUAACCCGUCUACAUCGCCAAAUUAGGGUUACGGAACGUUACAUCAUGUUUAGAAACAUUUAACUUCAAAUAGAAACAAUUAUUCAAAUUAAUUACAAAAAUACAAAUACUUAAUUCUUUUAUAAUAUAAAUACACUUACGGGCCUUAAACUAAGCCUACGGGGCCCUAAAAAUGGUUAAGGAACAUUCCGAGGCUAAUUUGAAACAAAAUAGGAAAUUUUUGAAAAAUUGAAAAAUUUUGGAAAUAAGGUUUGUAACAGCCCGAUUUAGACCCUACUCGGAAUGGUGGUUUUGGGACCACAAAUCUGAGUUAGAAAAAUAUUUAAAAAUUAUUUUCAGUGUUUAUUAUGUGUGAAUUUAUAUGUGUGAAAUUUUCGUGCUUUAAUUUUAUCAUUUGAGUGCCGAUUUAAUUAAAAUGACUUAAUCGCGUAAAAUGAAAAUUUAAUGAUUAAAUGUGAAUGAUGCCUAAUUGAUAUUGUCUUUACAAUAUGAAGUACUAAUGUUGUAAUAAGGCCAUUUAUUAUAUGUGUGGACGGUUUUAGAUAUGUUAUAUAUGGUUUUCUAAUUAAACUUUAAAGGUUAAAUAUGUAAAAUAGUAAAUAAUAUAUAUAAUACAUUAUAACAUAAUUAAAAGCCAUGUGAAUGUGUUCAUACUUUUGACCGAAAGUAAAAAAAGAAAGAAAGAAAAGAAAGCUUUAGGUAUUCGGCACUUUGGAAGCUUAAUCAAGGUAUGUAACUAGCUCGAUUUUUGAUAAUUUCUAUGUUUUUGAGAUUGUUCCUUCAAGUACUACAAAACCCAUGCUUGAAUUUUUUUAUUUUGAUGAAUAUUUUGAGUUAUUCCAUUGAUGAGAGCUUGUGAUUUUUGUUGUUUGAUGAUGAAAUAUGAAAGAUAUGUUUUAUAUUAACAUGUUUUGUAUUGGAGUUUUUGAUGAUUUUGAGUAGUUAGGACUAAAUUGAAAAAAUAAUAAUUUGAGGGACUAAUAUGUGAGAUAAAUGAAAUAUAUGGAUUUUUUUGAGAGUGGGUAAAAUUCGGCUCAACAUGGGUAUGCUGAAAUUUUGUGUACUUUGUGUUUUGUGCAAUAGGGACUAAAUUGUAAAAAGUGUAAACGUUAGGGGUAAAAUGGUAAUUUGUCCAUUUAUGUGUUUUUGGAGUAAAUUGAAUGAAAUUAUAUUGAAUUAGUUUAUUUUGAAUACAUUUAGAUCAAGAACCAAAGAAAUCAGAUUUGAAUAGGAGGAAAAACUAAAAUCGUCAAUUAAUCGUCCUGUUCCGAUUAUUGUUGUCUGAGGUAAGUUUACAAGCAAAUUGUAACACCCCGUGCCCGAGACCGUUGCCGGAGUCGAACAUGAGGUGCUGACCGACUUAGUUCAUUUUAAAAAUUUCCAGACAGCUGGCUAACUGUGUCGCUGUCACCUUAAAAAUCAUAUCUUGAGUUCCACAACUCGAAAAUCAGUUUCGUGAUUUUUCCCUGAAACUAGACUCAUAUAUUCAUCUACAAUUUUUUUUCUAUAAUUUUUGGUCAGGCCAAUUAGUACAGUUUAUUAGUUAAAGUCUCCCAUGUUACAGGGAUCGACUACACUGACCUUUGCGCAUUACGACUUGGAUAUCUCCCUGUACAGCACUUCAAUGCUGAUGCCGUUUGUUUCUAUAGAAACUAGACUCAAAUAGGAAUCUAUAAAUAUAUGGCAUGACUCCUAAUUAUAUCUGGUUAAUUUAUAAUGAAUUUCCAAAGUCGGAACAGGGAAUCCAGAAACUGUUCUGGCCCUGUUUCACGAAAGCCUAAAUAUCUCUUAACAUACAACUCAUAUGACCCGUUUAGUUUCUUCCAUAUGAAAGUAGAUUCAUCAAGGUUCAUUUACAUAAUUUAUUCACUAUUUAAUUCCAUUCCUACUAUUUUUAGUGAUUUUUCACAUCCACAUCGCUGCUGCUGUCAGCAUCUGCCUUUAAGGUAGACUUUACCUAUUUCAUAGUUUCCAUGAUUCAAUUAGCCCUUUUUUUUUUUUUGCAUACAUAGCACAAAGUAUAAUCAUGAUUAACCAUUCCAAUGGCUAAUCGUUUCCAAACAUUUCCAUACCUCUUAGUGAUCAACAUACAAAACGAUUAUAGUACUAUGCUAAAAACGUAUAUAAGCCAUUUUCGCAUGGCUAUACAAAUUUACACAAAAUCCAUGGGUACAUGACCAACAACAAGAAGGGUAGUCCUAUACAUGCCAUUUUAAAGUUCAACCAAAAUUGUACCAAAAGGGGGCUUUGAUAGUGUGGGAGACUUCGACUUCCAAAAAUCCCGAGUCUGAUAGCUGACGAGCCAAAAUCUAUAAAACAGAGAAACAAAGAAACGGAGUAAGCAAUUUAUGCUUAGUAAGUUUUGAGCAAGGGGUUCUAGCACAACAAAAGUAUAGCAUUCAUAUAGCUAAACGGAUAAUUUCAUAUGCACAAAUUCUCAAUAUCAUACUUACUUCACAUUACCAACCCUUAUGUUCAUACACAAAAGAUCAACUUAGCCAAAGGCCGGUAGCUCAUUUAUCGACUGAGCGAAUACAGAUUUGUAAGGGAUCAACUAAUUCAAAGCACACACGAAACAUACCUCAUCGCUGGGAUUUUACGAGCGUAUUAAUUUAAAUUUUUACAGCAAGAUCGCUCGUUCCCAAAUCAAGCAUCUUCGGGGUUUAGCCGGAUAUAACCACUCGCACAAGGCCUUCGGGUCUUAACCCGGAUAUGGUCACUAGCAUAAAUGCCUUCGGGACUUAGCCCGGAUAUAGUCGCUAGCACAAAUGCCUUCGGAUCUUAGUCCAGAUGUAGUCGCUUAGCACAAAAGCCUUCGGGACUUAGCCCGGAUAUCAUUCGAGUAACCAUGCACAUAUAUCAAUAAAUCAUGACACAUUCAUAUUUCAUUUUCAUUACCAAAGCUCAAACACAAGACACUUAUCACAUUUACAAUUUCGGCUCAAUAGCCACAUACAAGAGCAUGAUUUUGAUUUACUUAAGACAUAAUCUAAUCGAAUCAUAAUUUAAGUCCCAUUACUCGAAAACUUACCUCGGAUGUUGUCGAACGAUUCCGAUGGCUAUUCGACCACUUUUUCCUUCCCUUUAUCGGAUUUAGUUCCCCUUUGCUCUUGAGCUUAAUUUAACAAAUAAAUUGAUUUAAUCAUUUGAGCAUCGAAAAGAGGAACUCAAGGUACUUGGCCCACAUAUAUCCAUUAGACAUUAAAGUCACAUAUGUACAGAAUCAUGAAUCAAACUCAACACAUUAGUUAAUACUCUCCUUAGCCGAAUUUUCUAAGUCAAGAUAAAGCCUUCAAUAUGCUUACCUAUGGCCGAACAACACAUCAACCUAUGUACUCAUUCAUGUGGCCGAUUAUGCAUGUCUAUGUUGAGGCCAAUUGUAUACUCAAUACCACACACAAAUGGCAUACCUUUUACUAACUAAUGCAUUACAUAUUAUAACUCAAUACGCAUCCAUCAUGUACUCCAUAACCGAAACACCAUCAUAUGUAAAUAUAUACCUUGAGAUAUUGUAUAUGUCAUACCAAUACGUCAUGUGCAAACAUAUAUAUAUGUGCAAGAGCCGAAUCUCAAAGUUGAUUAUAACUAAACAUGAACAUAAAUCCAAAACACAAAUCUUACCUACCAUGCAAUAAGCAUAAAUCAUACUUAUGGAUAUACCAUGGCCGAAUACAUCACAACACCAUACCAUUUCAAUUUUGGUCAUGGUUAAACAAAGAACUUAAUGUCUCACUCAAAAAUGCUAAAAAGAAAAUCCAAGAGUCAUCAAUCCACCAUCACAUGUAUCAUUAACAAGCUUCAUAUUUAGCAUGUAAUGGCAUUAACACAAAAUCCACCUAGGCUGAAUAUCAUCCCCAUGACAUAGCAAAGAUUUGAACCAUGGGCUAAUUAGAACUCAAGCUAGCAACUAAAAACAUGCAUGAAUCUCAUGGCACAACCUCAAACAUACCUUAAUCUAGAUACAAGUAUGGUCAAACCUCCUCCUAAUCCUCUUCCAAACCAAACAUGAAGCAAGAACUCCUUCCUUCUUCCUUAGAAUUUUCGGCCAAAAGAAAUGAAAAAGGAUGAACAAAAUUUUUUUUCUUUUCUCCAACUCACGGCAAUGGGGGGGGAACACUCACACACAUUCCUUUUUUUUGUUUUCUUCCUUCCAUUUCUUAUUAGUUUAUUGCCCAUGCUUCUUAUUUUAUUUUUCCAUUAACACAACAUGUUUCAUGACAUGUUUUGCCCAUCAUCCCUUGUCAUGGCCGGCCACUAGUACUUAAAUGGGGGGAAAUUGACAUGCAAGUCCACCCCUUUGAUUACAUGCACUAUUAGGCCACUUGCAUUUGCCUAGCACAUUUCUAAAUUUUCUCACAUAAGUCCUAUCAACUAAAUUCACAUGCAAUUAACUAAAUCGAAGCUUAAAACUUUCACACAUUUAUAUUCACAUAUUUUAGGCAAUAAUUAUCACAUUCAAAUAAUUUGGUGACUCGGUCUAGCGGUCCCAAGACCGCUUUCCGACUAGGGUCACUUUAGGGCUGUCACACAAAUAAACAUAGUUAUUUUUUAAUAAAAAUAAGUUACAUGUGCUGAAUUGAUAUAUUGGAGAAUGUAUAAAUGAUAGACAAAUAUGUGUACACUUGGGAACUAUGUUUACGAUUCGAUUCGACCAAAAUUUGACGUCCGAGAAGUCCCGUACUAACCUUAGGAAUAGCUUGGAUACAUAUGUCAUGACAUAGGAUUUCCGAUAUGUGUUCUCGUGUAAGGCCACGUCUAGGACGUUGGCAUCGAUAUGUGUUUUCGAGUAAGACCAUGUUUGGGACAUUGGCAUCGUAAUUGUGAUUUGUGUAAGACCUUGUCUGGGACAAUGGCAUUGACAUGUGAUUACAUGUAAGACCACGUCAGGGACGUUGGCAUUGUACAAUUUGUGUUAUAAUCUGAGCAUUCUUUUUAAUUCCGAAUGGUUCAACGGGCAAGGAUAAGUUACGAAUGAAUGUGGAAACAAGUUAAAAUGAACAGGUAUGUGACAAUUUAUUACCUUUUCGGAUAAAAGGUAAGUUGAUUAUUUGAUAUGUGAUACAAGUUAUAUAUGAAGUUAAUGGUAGUGAUUGAAUAUAUGAAAAUCUAUAUGUGGAUUAAUGUACAAGUAUGUGAUAUUAAUGUUUGAUUUUUGAGCUUAUAUUCAGCCUAAUGUUACAUGAAGAAUAAAUUGAAAUGCGAAAUUCAUAUUGAUAUUAAAGGAUUUAUGUGCAUUCAAUUAGUAGGUAUUUGAAAUGUGAACCUUAGAACGUGUUUAUAGGGAAGUAUAUAUAUAUUCGGAAAAAUAAGGUCUAUGUGAUAUUAAACAUGUUAAUGAAGCAAUGUGUGUUUGGAAAUGUUAUAAUUUAUGUAUAGAUAAAUUUUUGGUAAUUAAAUUUCAUAAGUAUGGCUUGGUUAUGCCUUAACAAAUUAUCAAUGCCAUUGAGAUAAUAUUUGAAUUAAGAAUUGAGCUAUGAAUGAAGUGAAUGAAACCAUAAGUUUAAGUAUAUGAUUGGUCAUAUUCGGUUUAAUGAUAUAUAUAUGUAUGAUAUGGAAAUGUGAAUUUCAUACUUAUACCAAAUUUUAUAUGUGCAUUUGUUUAUAUGGUAAUUGAAUGUGAAAUUAUGACUAAGGAAAUGUGAAUUGUAUAAAUGUAUUAUGAUAGUAUGUAUUCGAUCAAGUGAAAUUUUUAUUGAUAUUGAGUAUGAAGGAUGAUUUUGGACAAAGAACGAAUGCAUAUUUGGAAAAAACUUAAUUCAUGUUUAGUUAUAUGUGGAUAUUUGAAUUUACAAGUAUGGUUUGGUUAUGUCUUAUUAAAUUAUUAUUGUUAUUGAGUUAAUGUUUGCUUAUGACUUACUAAGCUAAGAUAGCUUAUUGUGUGUGUGUAUUUUUACUUCUAUUUAUAGAUUUUGGAGACUAGUUGCAGGCUCGGGGAAUUUCAGCGAACUCUAUCACACUAUCGACUGCUUUCGGAACUUUUAAAAGUUGAAUUAGAAACCUAUGGCAUGUAUAGGCUAUACUACUUUUGGAAUAUGGUAGAAGUUGUAACACCCCGUACCCGAGACCAUUGCCGGAGUCGGACACGAGGGGUUCACAGACUUUAAACCCCUUAUAAAAAUAAUUUUCCAGACACUGCCCAAUCUGCGUACUAGUCGCUUUAAAAAUCAUAUCUUGAGUUUCACAACUCAAAAAUCAGUUUCGUGAUUUUUCCCUGAAACUAGACUCAUAUGCCCAUCUACGUAUUUUUUUCUAGAAUUUUUGGUUGGGCCAAUUAGUACAGUUUAUUAGUCAAAGUCUCCCAUGUUACAGGGAUCGACUACACUGACCCUUGCGCAUUACGACUUGGAUAUCUCCCUGCACAGAGCUUCAAUACUGAUGCCGUUUGUUUCUAUGGAAACUAGACUCAGAGAGGAAUCUAUACAUAUAUGGCGUGACUCCUAAUUAUAUCUAGUUAAUUUGUAAUGAAUUUCCAAAUUCGGAACAGGGAGUCCAGAAACCGUUCUGGCCCCGUCUCACGAGAACCUCAAUAACUCUUAACAUACUGUCCAUAUGAUCGUUUCGUUACUUUCCUAUGAAAAUAGAUUCAUUAAGGUUCGUUUACAUAAUUUAUUAAUUAUUUAAUUCCAAUCCUACUAUUUUUAGUGAUUUUCCAAAUCUACUUCACUGCUGCUGCCAGCAUCUGCCUUUAAGGUAGACUUUACCUACUUCAUAGUUUCCAUGAUUCAACUAGCCCUUUCAGCAUAAAUAGCACAAAUUAUGAUGGUGAUUAACCAUUCCAUACCAAAUGAUUAUAACAUUAUGCUCAAACAUAUAUAAGCCAUUUUCGCAUGGCUAUAUACAUUAACCAAAAUAUUCCUCCGCCACUAGUCUAUUUUAUACAUGCCAUAAGAUAAUCCAAAACAUAGCAGUACCAACAGUGGAUAGUGAUAGUGUGACUAGUUGCUGACGAUCCCCGAGCCUGUAGCUUCGCAAUGAGAUCUAUAAGACAGAGGAAACAGAGUAAACGGAGUAAGCAUUACAAUGCUUAGUAAGUUUUAAGCAGUGGCAAUAGAUAAAAAUCAAAUUAUAACAUAGUUGUUCGUAUUUUUAUUUCACUCUUCCUUCGGGCAUACCAUCCCUUUUCCGAAUACGCACAUCUCAUCAUAUACAAUAGGCAGAUAAACUUUCACAUAAAAGUGAGCUCAUGUGACAUAGAUAUAUCGUAUGAUUUCACAUCACCCCUCACACUGAUCCGAUGUCACAUAAUCAUAAGAAUAGUCUCAUAGAUUGCUCUCGUAUGCAUCACAUAACUACCUUAUGAUUUAGUGCAAAUCAAGCUCACAUAUAAACUUGGAGUACAUACCUGUUUAACCUUUCGCAUUGAAU